GAUGAACGCUAGCGACAGGCUUAACACAUGCAAGUCGAGGGGCAGCGAGGGCGUAGCAAUACGCCUGUCGGCGACCGGCGCACUGGUGAGUAACACGUAUGCGACCUGCCCCCUACAGGGGUAUAACCCGUAGAAAUGCGGACUAAUCCCCCAUAGUCCUGAGUGCUGCAUGGCAUUCAGGGGAAAGGUCAGCCGGUAGGGGAUGGGCAUGCGGCGCAUUAGCUAGUUGGCAGGGUGAUAGCCUACCAAGGCGACGAUCGGUAGCCGACCUGAGAGGGUGAUCGGCCACAUUGGAACUGAGAUACGGGCCCAG
rnacentral:rRNA from 1 species